AAAUAACAAAACAAAGGGCUUACGGUGGAUACCUAGGGAUUUAGAAGCGAUGAAGGGCGUGGCAACCCACGAAAGACUUCGGGGAGCUGGUAGCAAGCUUUGAUCCGGAGGUUCCCGAAUGAGGCAACUCAUGAGGCAACUCAUAGAUUGAUCUCUGUGAUUAAUCAGCAAACCUAGCGAACUGAAACAUCUUAGUAGCUAGAGGAAAAGAAAGCAAAAGCGAUUCCCACUAGUAGUGGCGAGCGAAAGGGGAACAGCCUAAACCAUGCCAUGUGCAUGGAGUUGUGGGAAAGGCACUUGAACGUACAGCUAAGGUUAGUUUAAGCGUUUGGAAACACGCCCCAGAGAAGGUGAAAGGCCUGUGAACGAAAACUGACGCUGGCGUUGCCUUAUCCCGAGUAGUAUGGGACACGUGAAACCCCGUAUGAAUCUGCGAGCACCACCUCGUAAGGCUAAAUAUUCCUAAAUCACCGAUAGCGAACUAGUACCGUGAGGGAAAGGUGAAAAGAACCCCGGGAGGGGAGUGAAAUAGAACAUGAAACCGUAAGCUUACAAGCAGUAGGGGGACGACUUAUCGUCUCUCUUCGUGCCUGUUGAAGAAUGAGCCGGCGACUUAUUAGCAGUGGCAGGUUAAGGCAAAGAAUGCCGGAGCCCCAGUGAAAGCGAGCUUGAAUAGAGCGUCUCGUCACUGUUAAUAGACCCGAACCCGGAUGAUCUAACCAUGGCCAGGGUGAAGCUUAGGUAAAACUAAGUGGAGGCCCGAACCGACUGAUGUUGCAAAAUCAGCGGAUGAGCUGUGGUUAGCGGUGAAAUGCCAAUCGAAUCCGGAGCUAGCUGGUUCUCCCCGAAAUGUGUUGAGGCACAGCGCUAGAUUUUAGCUCACUCAGGGGUAAAGCACUGUUUCGUCUUCGGGCUGCCAAAAGCGGUACCGAAUCGUGACAAACUCUGAAUACUGAAUGAGUUCUCUAGCAGUCAGACAGUGGGGGAUAAGCUCCAUUGUCAAAAGGGAAACAGCCCAGAUCACCAGAUAAGGCCCCUAAAUGAUGGCUAAGUGGCAAAGGAGGUGAACGCGCUUAGACAACCAGGAGGUUGGCUUAGAAGCAGCCAUCCUUUCAAGAGUGCGUAAUAGCUCACUGGUCCAGCGUGUUUGCGCCGAAAAUGAACGGGACUAAGCCAUCUGCCGAAGCUGUGGGUGGAGUAGUAAUCCUACUCUACGGUAGGGGAGCGUUGUGUUUUAGUUUGAAGCGUUAGCGUAAGCGGACGUGGACGAUACACAAGUGAGAAUGUCGGCUUGAGUAGCGAAAACAUGGGUGAGAAUCCCAUGCCCCGUAAACCCAAGGUUUCCUUCGGAAGGUUCGUCCGCGAAGGGUUAGUCAGUACCUAAGGCGAAGCUAUAUAGAGCGUAGUCGAUGGAAAACAGGCGCAUAUUCCUGUACCUGUUAAGGCUUAGUCAGGGGGGACGGAGCCGGCUUGCUGAGCCGCUCGUUGGUUUGGCGGUUCAAGUGUUCGAAGCAUGCAAGGCGGAAACUUGCUAAGCUUAGGCACGAGUACGUAAGUCAUCCACAAGUCUUACUCCCUAGAAAAGCCCCGCGACAUCUACCUUAACAGGCUGUACCGUAAACCGACACAGGUGGGUUAGUAGAGUAUACUAAGGGGCGCGAGAUAACUCUCUCUAAGGAACUCGGCCAAUUGACCCCGUAACUUCGGGAGAAGGGGUGCCUACUUUUCGUAGGCUGCAAAAAGCAGGCCCAAGCGACUGUUUACCAAAAACACAGGUCUCCGCUAAGUCGCAAGACGAUGUAUGGGGGCUGACGCCUGCCCAGUGCCGGAAGGUCAAAUCAACCGGUUGACGCUGGUUGCCCAAGCCCCGGUGAACGGCGGCCGUAACUAUAACGGUCCUAAGGUAGCGAAAUUCCUUGUCGGGUAAGUUCCGACCCGCACGAAUGGCGUAACGAUUUGGGCACUGUCUCAGAGAGAGACUCGGCGAAAUAGCAUCGUCCGUGAAGAUGCGGACUACCUGCACCUGGACAGAAAGACCCUAUGAAGCUUUACUGUAACUUGAAAUUGGAUUUCGGCUUGUUUUGCGCAGCAUAGGUGGGAGGCUUUGAUAUCGCUUUUGCGGAAGCGGUGGAGCCGUCAGUGAGAUACCACUCUGAACACGCUUAAAUCCUCACCCUUCUUUUGGGGACCCUUUCUGGUGGGCAGUUUGACUGGGGCGGUCGCCUCCUAAAAGGUAACGGAGGCGCGCAAUGGUUCCCUCAGGCUGGUCAGAAAUCAGCCCUUUUAGAGUGCAAAGGCAUAAGGGAGCUUGACUGUGACACUGACACGUGAAACAGGGACGAAAGUCGGCCUUAGUGAUCCGACGGUUCUGCGUGGAAAGGCCGUCGCUCAACGGAUAAAAGUUACUCUAGGGAUAACAGGCUGAUCUCCCCCAAGAGUUCACAUCGACGGGGAGGUUUGGCACCUCGAUGUCGGCUCAUCGCAACCUGGGGCGGUAGUACGUCCCAAGGGUUGGGCUGUUCGCCCAUGAAAGCGGUACGUGAGCUGGGUUCAGAACGUCGUGAGACAGUUCGGUCCAUAUCCGGUGUAGGCGUGGCAGCAUUGACAGCUUCUCUCCCUAGUACGAGAGGACCGGGAGGGGCACACCUCUGGUGUACCAGUUAUCCUACCAAGGGUACACGCUGGGUAGCUAUGUGUGCUGUGGAUAACCACUGAAAGCAUCUAAGUGGGAAGCCCUGCUGAAGAUUAGUGCUGUUUUGAGGUCUCGGCUAGACUAGCCGUUUGAUAGGCGCUCGGUGUACGUUCCGUAAGGAAUUCAGCCUAGGCGUCCUAAUCGACCUCCUUCUUGGCGAG
rnacentral:rRNA from 1 species